GAAAUGUGAUAAGUAAUGUGAAUUGCAGAAUUCCGUGAAUCAUCGAAUCUUUGAACGCACAUUGCGCCCUCUGACAUUCCGGGGGGCAUGCCUGUCCGAGCGUCAUUACGCACCCUCAAGCCCGGCUUGUGUGAUGGGCCCUGGCGUCUCGUUCGCGAGACGGGCCCGAAAGGCAGCGGCGGCGUCGACCCGAUGAGCCCGAGCGUAUGGGGACUUUUGUCACACGUUUGCGGUGCGGACCGGCGCCUGCUUGACUUUUCUGAUUAUCCAGGUUGACCUCGGAUCAGGUAGGGAUACCCGCUGAACUUAAGC
rnacentral:misc_RNA from 1 species